rnacentral:rRNA from 1 species
UACAGAGGUCUCAAGCGUUGUUCGGAUUCAUUGGGCGUAAAGGGUGUGUAGGUGGCGCCGUAAGUCGGGUGUGAAAUCUCGGAGCUUAACUCCGAAACUGCAUUCGAUACUGCCGUGCUUGAGGACUGGAGAGGAGACUGGAAUUUACGGUGUAGCGGUGAAAUGCGUAGAUAUCGUAAGGAAGACCAGUGGCGAAGGCGAAUCUCUGGACAGUUACUGACACUGAGGCACGAAGGCCAGGGGAGCAAACGGG